rnacentral:lncRNA from 1 species
UCAUAAUUUCUCACUUUGCUGCCCGGUGGUUUAAAAUAUAUCAAUGCCCCCCUGUGGUUUCAUUUUUAUCUUUUCGAUAGCUUUUUCGUUAAUAUUUAAUUAAAUUAUAUACAAAAAAACUUCAGAUACCCAUAUAGAUUUAUCAAAUAUUCACUUUAGUAUCCUUUAAUUUUAACUUUAUAACUGAUUUAAGAAAAAAAAAUAAUAAAAUUGACAAGAAAAAGAGAAAAAAAGAAACUACAGGGGGGCAAAGUGAGAAACU